UGGCUCAGAUUGAACGCUGGCGGCAUGCUUUACACAUGCAAGUCGAACGGUAACAGGUCUUCGGAUGCUGACGAGUGGCGAACGGGUGAGUAAUACAUCGGAACGUGCCUAGUAGUGGGGGAUAACUACUCGAAAGAGUAGCUAAUACCGCAUGAGAUCUACGGAUGAAAGCAGGGGACCUUCGGGCCUUGUGCUACUAGAGCGGCUGAUGGCAGAUUAGGUAGUUGGUGGGGUAAAGGCUUACCAAGCCUGCGAUCUGUAGCUGGUCUGAGAGGACGACCAGCCACACUGGGACUGAGACACGGCCCAGACUCCUACGGGAGGCAGCAGUGGGGAAUUUUGGACAAUGGGCGAAAGCCUGAUCCAGCAAUGCCGCGUGCAGGAUGAAGGCCCUCGGGUUGUAAACUGCUUUUGUACGGAACGAAAAGCCUGGGGCUAAUAUCCCCGGGUCAUGACGGUACCGUAAGAAUAAGCACCGGCUAACUACGUGCCAGCAGCCGCGGUAA
rnacentral:rRNA from 1 species